UGGGGAAUUUUCCGCAAUGGGGGGAACCCUGACGGAGCAACGCCGCGUGCGGGAGGACGGCCUGUGGGUUGUAAACCGCUUUUCUCUAGGAAGAAGGUCUGACGGUACUAGAGGAAUCAGCAUCGGCUAACUCCGUGCCAGCAGCCGCGGUAAGACGGAGGAUGCAAGCGUUAUCCGGAAUUAUUGGGCGUAAAGCGUCCGUAGGCGGUUCAUCAAGUCAGUUGUUAAAGACUGCAGCUCAACUGUGGGCGAGCAACUGAAACUGAUGAACUAGAGUGCGGUAGGGGUAGAGGGAAUUCCCAGUGUAGCGGUGAAAUGCGUAGAUAUUCGGAGGAACACCAGUGGCGAAGGCGGCUCACUGGCUAGAUACUGACGCUGAGGUGCGAAAGUGUGGGGAGCAAACAGGAUUAGAUACCCGUGUAGUCC
rnacentral:rRNA from 1 species